ACCUUUUGCUCCUCAUUAUCCCACACGAUUACACUAGAGGGAGAGAGAGUGGACGAGAUGAGUGAAUCGGCACACUAGGGUUCCGGCGGGUGGUAGUCGUCCGGUCAUCUCUGUUGACGUCGUACUCCGACAACUCAACCAGAAACGGUGAUGAGUAUAGAGAUUCCGACAGUGGUUCACAUAAGAUGGAAUUGUUUACAACCGCAAUUGGCUCCUAGAAACAGUUUGCUUAUGAUUCUCACAAAAAUUUCUACGCGACUCUUCCAAAGUUCAAACUCAUCUCAAACAGUAUACCAGAUCAAUCACACGCAGUGAAUACAUGUACGAUUCGCUGAUGAAUCGAAAAGGUAACCAAUGGUGUUGAGGUUCACCCCUUGGGUUUCUUCACCAAUUGUGGAAAGAUUCGGUUUUACUGCUAGGACAUAGCUGGACAGACUGAAUAUUAGUUAACUCGAUCAUAAAGCAAGCUGAAUUAUCUGCAACAUUCAUGGUCAAUGUGCCAUUAUAUUUUUGAUGGAACUUCAAGAUUGACAUACAAGAAUGUUCUCUCAUGGCAUCGUGAUCAUUGUCGUGUGUGUGGAAACAAGGUUGAUGUAAAGGACUGUUAAGUGAAGGCAAACAGGUUACUUUCCAUAAAAUAAUCUGCAGUAUUAUGAGAUCUCAGCCAAGAGCAAUUCAACUUUGAGAAGCCCUUUCUUUAUCUCGCCACGAAACUUGCUGGGGACCUCAACUUGCAUUUUGUGGAGUCUCAUAUGCUAGCUAGCUCUUCUAAUGGUGCGACUAGACAUGUUCGUUGAAUAAUAACGAAAGGCUUAAUGACAUCGUUGGAAGUGCAUACUAGGUGGCGCCAGAAGUUCUACGUAGAAUAUCUAUUCUUUUAUGUGGAAGUCAUCCAUGGAUUAGAAAUGCAAAUGAUUUGAAAGUGCCACUCGAUGUCUCAGUAUUGAGACACAUGAACAAUUAUAUGCGUUCUUCUGCUCUUCAUAAAGCUACUAUACAGAUAAACAAAAACGAACGUUAGGAAUGAUAGGAAGGGGAAACACCGUUUGUGCAGUUGCCAGCUGGGAAAGAACCAUAACUGGAAGCCGUAGUCCAAUAAGCCACAUUGCAUAGGAAAAUGCCUUUUAUCAAGUUAUGUUAGCUAACAUGCUCCAUGUUAGGCACGUAACAUGUGAAUUAAACAUAGAUACUAACUUUUUUUUGCAUCUGCUUAUGUAACUAUAUCGAUUCGACUCAAUGACAACCAGCUGAAGGGAGAUAUAAAUCUAGCCCCUGCCACAUCGCGGCGGGUUACACUUCUAGUUAUAUACUAUAUAAUUUGCAACAUUUUGUUGCAUUAAAGCUUGUACAUCAAGCUUU
rnacentral:lncRNA from 1 species